rnacentral:tRNA from 1 species
GGUAUUGUAGCUCAGCGGUAGAGUGCUCGCCUAGGAUGUGCGAGGCCCUGGGUUUGAUCCUCAGCACCA